GAUGAACGCUGGCGGCGUGCCUAAGACAUGCAAGUCGAGUGGGUUUAGACCCACGGCGAACGGGUGAGUAUAACCUAGGAACUUUCUUUAAGUGGAGCAUAACCAGCCGAAAGGUUGGAUAAUUCUCCAUGUGAUAGCAAUAUCAAAGCCGCAAGGCGCUUAAAGUGAGGCCUGGGCACCAUCAGCUAGUUGGUAGGGUAAAGGCCUACCAAGGCUAUGACGGUUAGGGGCCCCGAGAGGGGAAACCCCCACACUGGGACUGCGACACGGCCCAGACUCCUACGGGAGGCAGCAGUUUGGAAUAUUGGACAAUGGACGAAAGUCUGAUCCAGCGACGCCGCGUGGACGAUGAAGGCCUUCGGGUUGUAAAGUCCUUUUGCUCGGGAACAAUUUUUGAGCGUACCGAGAGAAUAAGAGGUUGCUAACUCUGUG
rnacentral:rRNA from 1 species